rnacentral:lncRNA from 1 species
AAUACUUAGAAUAUUCCAACCCAAAACAAGAUUCACGAAUACAAGCCUCAAGAGUGAAAAAGAAUCUUAAUGGUGAAAGAACAGGAGAAACAGAAGAAUCUUAACUUUCCUUUGGUAUAAAUGGAUGGAUUGAGACCUUAACUCGUACAUGCAUGCUCAAUUGAAAGAGAAACUGAGCUUGGUCUAUCCUAAUUAUGGUUUCGACCAUGACAGAAGGGAAGAGAGUAAAAUAGAACCUAAAUCUUUCACUUAAAGUGUCUCAUUUGGUGAUGGAUUGAGAGGAAAAACACAUGCAAAGUUUGUUGGUGAUGAUUUAGGGAGAGAUUGAAAAUGAUAAUGGUGGUUAUGGCAAGUGAAGAGUUUCACGGCUGAGAGAAAGAAAGUGGUAGUGGAGUUGGGAUUUGGAUUCAGUGAAGUCGACUGCAUGCAAUCAGUAAAUCUGGACCGUCUGAUCAAGAUCAGACGGUUCAUACUUUAAGAUCAGAUUUUAAUUAU